GCCGGCGACGCCCAAAAGGCAAAGGUAUUGCUUUAACUCAACUAAAGGUGGAAGUUGAUCGAGUAUUGUCUCCAGCAACAGCCCUUGGCACUGAAAAAGUUCUCAAAUUGAUUUACGUAAAAACGGUGGCAGAAGAAAAAAAUGCUACUUUUUUAAUAUGUGUUCAUGUUAAAUACAGAUGCUUUCGACGUUCUUCGUUUAACUCAUACGAUGUCAUCAAAGAAUUAUUAAAGAGCAAUUCUCGCAUGCAAAACCAGCUUUGCGCUUCUUGUUUGGACACUUUGUUUAAGUCAUCACCUUGCACCAAUAACCACUUUUCAUCUGUGAACACAUAAUACUAUAAUUCCUGGCAAUGGAAGUGAGUAAUGUCCUUUAUUUGUACGUCGCUGCCAAGGACGAAAUUGCAGUAAGUCUGCUAUUAGCCAAGGUACAUCGUGCGUUACCACCAUGCGACGUGAGGCACUCAACGGUAUUGAAUCCGCAUGCUCUGCCAGGUAGCUAAGUAUAGAAAUGCAACGCAUGCCAAUCUUAUAAAUUAAAUCGCGUUUUUGACGCUCUAACUCGGAUAAAACAGCUUCAUCUACAUCAACUUUUGAUUGAUUUUCAUGAUAACCCAUGCUAUUACAUAUAAGAUAAAAAUGUAUA